UACGUAGGGUGCAAGCGUUGUCCGGAAUUAUUGGGCGUAAAGAGCUCGUAGGCGGUCUGUCGCGUCUGCUGUGAAAACUCAGGGCUUAACCCUGAGCUUGCAGUGGGUACGGGCAGACUAGAGUGCGGUAGGGGAGACUGGAAUUCCUGGUGUAGCGGUGAAAUGCGCAGAUAUCAGGAGGAACACCGGUGGCGAAGGCGGGGUCUCUGGGCCCGUAACUGACG
rnacentral:rRNA from 1 species